rnacentral:tRNA from 1 species
UGUGUUGACUGGUCUGGUCGAGGUCGUGCAUCUGGCGCACGCGGAGGACCCUGCCUGGCUUGUGGCGGUUCAAUUCCGGUUCGACCAGG